rnacentral:rRNA from 1 species
AUCACUUACUGUUGGUAGCAUUGCCAUCUUCCAAGGAACCUGAGCAUUCAUCUUGAGCCCAGGCUGCAAGAAUGGCUUGUGCUGUAGAUCCCAGCAGCAACAAGAACAGCUUGCUGAUGCUUCCUGAGAGAGUGAAGAAGAUCACCAGGAUUCCUGCUUCGUGGUGGGCGUACGCAUGGAGUAUUGGAAGAGAAGAUCAAAGGAGAGCCAUUCAUGCUCUCAAGGUUGGGACAGCUCUCACACUAGUCUCGCUCUUGUAUAUACUAGAACCGUUGUUCAAAGGAGUGGGAAAGAAUGCAAUGUGGGCUGUCAUGACGGUUGUUGUUGUGCUCGAAUUUACCGCAGGUGCAACCAUAUGCAAAGGUCUGAAUAGAGGGUUCGGAACAGUCAUAGCGGCAUCUCUAGCAUUUAUCAUUGAACUUGUAGCAGUAAGAUCUGGAAAAGUUUUCCGCGGUUUCUUUGUGGCAUCUUCAGUAUUUCUGAUAGGAUUCGCGGCAACAUAUUUGAGAUUCUUCCCAUCCAUUAAGAAGAAUUAUGAUUAUGGUGUGGUGAUUUUUUUGCUAACCUUCAAUCUGAUAACGGUCUCAAGCUUCCGCCAGGAGAACAUACUGCCUUUAGCACGAGAUCGCUUGAGUACAAUUGCCAUAGGGUGUGCCAUAUGCCUCUUUAUGAGCCUCUUUGUGUUGCCAAACUGGUCGGGAGAGGACCUCCACAGCCGCACUGCGCACAAAUUUGAAGGAUUGGCAAGAUCAGUUGAAGGUUGUGUGAAUGAGUAUUUCCGAGAUCAAGAGAAGCAUGAUAACAUUCUUGAUAAGCAGACAUCGAGAGCUUCCAUUCAUACUGGGUAUAGAGAAGUACUAGACUCAAAAUCAAGUGACGAGUCCCUGGCACACUAUGCAAGCUGGGAGCCAAGACACUCAAUGCAGUGUUACAGUUACCCAUGGCAAAAGUAUGUGAAGCUCGGAUCUGUGCUUAGACACUUCGCAUAUACUGUCGCUGCACUUCAUGGAUGCCUUGAAUCAGAAAUUCAGACUCCGACAUCCGUCAGAUCACUAUUUCGAACCCCAUGCACUAGAGUUGCACGAGAGGUGACCAAGGUUCUACAGGAGCUUGCAGACAGCAUAAGAAAUCACCAUCGUUGUGCCCCUGAUGUGUUGUGCGAUCAUCUUCAUGAAGCACUACAGGAUCUAAACUCAGCAAUAAGGUCACAACCACGGCUAUUUCUCGGCUCAAAACAUGGAUCUGCCAAUAGUCGUAUGCUAAUGGAACUGAAUUCAAGCAAGCAUGCCACCUCAAGAACUGCUCUGCCCUCAUUCAAGACUGAUACAGCAUCGAUAUUAGAAAGGAAGAACACAAAAGCAGAUCAACCAUCAGAACGCAGUGAGAGGAGCACAUUAGGGCGGACGCUAAGUAAGAUAGCUAUCACGAGCCUUGAGUUCUCUGAAGCACUACCAUUCGCUGCUUUUGCUUCGUUACUGGUAGAAAUGGUAGUACGACUGGAGUUGGUUAUUGAGGAAGUAAAGGAACUGGAAAGGGCUGCAAAUUUUAAAGAGUUCACUCGCCAUGACCAUCUGACCAUUGAUAUCACUUGCAAGGAGGAGAAGAGAAACAAUGAUGGUGUGCGAUUAGGGAGCCACACAGUUUCUCCUGCAGCUGAAUAAACACUCAUGGGUAGAUCAAAGCAGCAGUGUAUAGAUCAUUCUGAAAAUAAUAUGUAUUUAUUCUUUGGUUAGAAAAAGAUGAGUGGUGUGAUUUCAAUAACUACUGUUAGCAUGAUAUACAUUUAGGUGCAAUUAAAUAUUCUCCGUCUAUCAAUCAGUCGUUUGCAGAUGUCCCAGCGAUCAGACCUGUUUUCUGGACUCAGUAAGUAAUGAUUUGUAUCCACAUAUCCUUCUCUGACCCGUGUUUCAUAUUGGAUGAUUAUGCAGCUACUUCCUGCCUAACAUCUGGAACAUGGUCUAAGGUAUAAUGGCCAAGCCUUCCUG